UUAAGAAUUUUUCAAUUAGAGAUCAAGAAGUUAGGGUAUGUUUCAAGAAAUAAAAGGGUUUGAAGAAACAAUGGACACAGAUCUAUGAGCUUCUUGUUUAAAAACUGAAGAAAAUGAUGAUGAAUUCUGCACUUCGGAUACUUUUGGAGUUAAAUAAUACAGUUUUCAAGUAAUUAUAGCAUAGCCUCUUCAGUAUUCUUUGGCAUAAGAUUAUAGCCUUGUCUGGGCUUAUUACAAAUCCUGUUUCCUUAGUAGGAUUGUUAGAGCAGUUACAAGUAUAAAUCAUUUUUUUUUU
rnacentral:lncRNA from 1 species